rnacentral:rRNA from 1 species
UACGUAGGUGGCAAGCGUUGUCCGGAUUUACUGGGCCUAAAGAGCGCGCAGGCGGUCGUUCAAGUCGCGUGUGAAAGCCCCCGGCUCAACUGGGGAGGGUCACGCGAUACUGAUCGACUCGAAGGCAGGAGAGGGUAGUGGAAUUCCCGGUGUAGUGGUGAAAUGCGUAGAUAUCGGGAGGAACACCAGUGGCGAAGGCGACUACCUGGCCUGUUCUUGACGCUGAGGCGCGAAAGCUAGGGGAGCAAACAGG